rnacentral:rRNA from 1 species
CCUACGGGCGGCAGCAGUGAGGAAUAUUGGUCAAUGGGCGUAAGCCUGAACCAGCGAAGUCGCGUGAGGGAUGAAGGUUCUAUGGAUCGUAAACCUCUUUUAUAAGGGAAUGAAGUGCGGGACGUGUCCCGUUUUGUAUGUACCUUAUGAAUAAGGAUCGGCGAACGCCGCGCCAGCAGCCGCGGUAAUACGGAGGAGCGGAGUGUUAGCCGGAUUUAUUGGGUUUAAAGGGUGCGUAGGCGGCCUUUUAAGUCAGCGGGGAAAGUCUGUGGCUCAACCAGAGAAUUGCCGUUGAAACUGGGCGGCUUGAGUAUGUUUGAGGCAGGCGGAAUGCGUGGUGUAGCGGUGAAAUGCUUAGAUAUCAGGCAGAACCCCGAUUGCGAAGGCAGCCUGCCAGGCCAUGACUGACGCUGAUGCACGAAAGCGUGGGGAUCAAACAGGAUUAGAUACCCUGGUAGUC